UUGAACGCUGGCGGCAUGCUUUACACAUGCAAGUCGAACGGUAACAGGCCUUCGGGUGCUGACGAGUGGCGAACGGGUGAGUAAUGCAUCGGAACGUGCCCAGAGGUGGGGGAUAACGCAGCGAAAGCUGUGCUAAUACCGCAUGUGAUCUGAGGAUGAAAGCGGGGGACCAGGCAGCAAUGUUUGGCCUCGCGCCUUUGGAGCGGCCGAUGUCAGAUUAGGUAGUUGGUGGGGUAAAGGCCUACCAAGCCGACGAUCUGUAGCUGGUCUGAGAGGACGACCAGCCACACUGGGACUGAGACACGGCCCAGACUCCUACGGGAGGCAGCAGUGGGGAAUUUUGGACAAUGGGCGCAAGCCUGAUCCAGCAAUGCCGCGUGCGGGAAGAAGGCCUUCGGGUUGUAAACCGCUUUUGUACGGAACGAAAAGGCUCUGGCUAAUACCUGGGGCUGAUGACGGUACCGUAAGAAUAAGCACCGGCUAACUACGU
rnacentral:rRNA from 1 species